rnacentral:rRNA from 1 species
CGCAAAUGCGGCGGCUACAAUGCAGUCGAGCGAACAGAAAAGGAGCUUGCUCCUUCAACGUUAGCGGCGGAUGGGUGAGUAACACGUGUGCGACCUACCUUAUAGUUUGGGAUAACUCCGGGAAACCGGGGCUAAUACCGAAUAAUCUGUUUCACCUCAGGGUGAAACACUGAAAGACGGUUUCGGCUGUCCCUAUAGGAUGGGCCCGCGGCGCGGUAGCUAGUUGGUGAGGUAACGGCUCACCAAGGCGACCAUGCAUAACCAACCUGAGAGGGUGAUCGGACACACUGGGACUGAGACACGGCCCAGACUCCUACGGGAGGCAGCAGUAGGGAAUCUUCCCCAAUGGGCGAAAGCCUGAUGGAGCAACGCCGCGUGAGUGAAUAAGGAUUUCUGUUCGUAAAACUCUGUUGUAAGGGAAGAACAAGUACUGUAGUAACUGGCUGUACCUUGACGGUACCUUAUUAAAAAGCCACGGCUAACUACGUGCCAGCAGCCGCGGUAAUACUUAGGUGGCAAGCGUUGUCCGGAAUUAUUGGGCGUAAAGCGCGCGCAGGUGGUUUCUUAAGUCUGAUGUGAAAGCCCACGGCUCAACCGUGGAGGGUCAUUGGAAACUGGGAGACUUGAGUGCAGAAGAGGAUAGUGGAAUUCCAAGUGUAGCGGUGAAAUGCGUAGAGAUUUGGAGGAACACCAGUGGCUGAAGGCGACUAUCUGGUCUGUAACUGACACUGAGGCGCGAAAGCGUGAGGAGCAAACAGGAUUAUAUACCCCUGGUAGUCCACGCCGUAAACGAUGAGUGCUAUGUGUUACGGGGUGUCCGCCCCUUAGUGCUGCAGCUAACGCAUUAAGCACUCCGCCUGGAGGAGUACAGUCGCAAGACUGAGACUCAGAGGAAUUGACGGGGGCCCGCACGAGCGGUGGAUCAUGUGGUUUAUUUCAAAGCUACCCGGACAAGCUUACCAGGUCUUGACCUCCCGAUGACUACUGUACAUAUAUGGUUUCCCCUUCGGGGGCCGACUGUGACUGUGAUGCCAUGGUCGUCGAUCAGCUCGUGUCAGUGACAUGUUGGGUUAAGUCCGCGAUCGAUCGCUAACCCUCGAUCUUUAGUGCCAUCAUCUAGUAGACUGCCUCGUAAGACUGACUGCCAGGUGAGCUAGCCGAUAGGCAUCGAUGUGAUGACGUCCGAUCAGUCAUGGCCCCUACGGACUGGACUACGACGGUCUACAUGGAUGCCAUCCACCGAGUGCCAACUCACUCCGAGUGAAGCCUAAUCCUAUA